rnacentral:rRNA from 1 species
AUUAGAUACCCCACUAUGCUUAAGCCUUUAACCAAGACAAAAUAAACCCUCAGUCCGCCAGAACACUACGAGCAAAAGCUUAAAACUCAAGAGACUUGACGGUGUUGCAACCGGCCUAGAGGAGCCUGUCCAAUAAUCGAUAACCCACGCUCCACCUCACCCCCCCUAGCCUGCAGCCUAUAUACCGCCGUCGAAAGCCCACCUUUUGAAAGCCUCCACCGUGAGCAAGAUAGUCAGACCACUAACACGUCAGGUCAAGGUGUAGCUAAUGGGGCGGACACAAGAUGGGCUACAUUUUCUACCACAGGACCUACCAUAUACCGCAUGAAACACGGACAAAAGCUGGAUUUAGCAGUAAGCACAACUAGAUAAGUCGUA